GACAGUUCGGUCCCUAUCUGAUGCGGGCGUAGGAAAUUUGAGGAGAGCUGAUCCUAGUACGAGAGGACCAGAUUGGACGGACCGCCAGUGCACCAGUUAUCACGCCAGUGGUAUAGCUGGGUAGCUGAGUCCGGAAGGGAUAAGCGCUGAAUGCAUCUAAGUGCCAAGCCCACUCCAAGACUAGAUUUCCCAGUCGUAAGACUCUAAAGGCACCUGGAAGAUGACCAGGUUGAUAGGUCAUAGAUGUAAGCUCCGUGAGGGGUUUAGUCGAGUGAUACUAAUCUGCCGUGAGGCUUGAUCUUAAAA
rnacentral:rRNA from 1 species